AGAACUGAAAAAUAAAUAGUAAAUAAAUAUGAUUAUUUUAUUAUUAAAAGUACUCUAUAUGACAUCUCAAUAUUCCAUGGAUGAUUUAGAAGAAUGUGAUAGAUUUAUAAGUAACAGACACACUAAUAAUAAUUUAGUUUAAGUAUUUAAAGCUUGAUUUUGGCACGAUAAGUUAUCAGUACUAGCGGAUCGGAUCGUUUAUAUUUGUGUAUUAGAGCUUGAUAAUUAAUUAAAAGUGUGAGAUGAAUCUUGCAUCGCGUAGGGAUUAUGUGUAUGAUUACACUAAAAAUAAUAACUUGGUCUUAAGUAUAUUAGACCCGACAAGUUAUUAUUACUGACUGAUCAAAUUGUUACAUUAGCUUAAUUAAAAAAAAAAAAACCUUCUUAUU
rnacentral:lncRNA from 1 species